rnacentral:tRNA from 2 species
GCCAGAGAAAGGUGAAUUCACAUCAUUCGUAAUGAUGGGGUCACGUGUUCGAGUCACGUAAGCGGCACCA